CUUCUGAAGAAUCCCCAGAGUACAGCUUCUCACCAUGGACUGGACCUGGAGAAUCCUCUUCUUGGUGGCAGCUGUAAAAAGUGUCCAUGGCCAGGUGCAGUUGGUGCAGUCUGGGUCUGAGGUGAGGAGGCCCACGGAGUCUGUGAAGAUCUCCUGCAAGGCUUCUGGCUACGCCUUCACAGGCUACUACAUGCACUGGGUGCGACAGGGCCCUGGACAGGGUCUGGAGUGGAUUGGUCGAAUCGAUCCAGAGGAUGGAAAUACUAAAUAUGCUCAGAAGUUCCAGGACAGGGUCAGCCUCACUGCAGACACCUCUUCCAGCACAGCCUACAUGGAGCUGAGCAGUCUGAAGUCUGAGGACACAGCCGUGUAUUACUGUGCGAGACACAGUGUGGUGACCACAUCCUGAGUCUGUCAGAAAUCCUGAGGCAGGAG